UUCGACCUGAACUCAGACAUGAUU
rnacentral:rRNA from 2 species